GUUUCACAGAAGCACUCUACUUUCAGAUAUUGGGGGAAAAACUGUAUUCUCCACGAGCCCUUUAAGGAAUGUCUUCUGACAGUGCUGCUGGGGGACCAUAGUGCUGUUUGGGGACCAUGAACUGAGGGGAGCAUACCUGUGUUCAAGGAUUUCUCCAGUUCUGUGCUCAGGGAUCAUUCCUGACAGUUUUG